rnacentral:lncRNA from 1 species
CUCGCUUGCUCCCCGUCCCCCCAACUCCCUUUUUUUCUCCUCAAAAUUUGUGCCAGUGCAGUGUCUCCACCGGGCAGGAUUGAAACUUUGGCAAACACAUAUCCAUUGCAUUCAUUUUUCUCCCCUUGUUUUGGUGUGGUUUUCUGGAAUGAAAGAAGCCUCUUGUUUUGCAAACCUCUUUGCAUUUCUAAUGUGUUUCCUUUCGGAUUUUCAUUAU